AGACCAUGAUGAGGACAAUGCCAAAGUAAUGCUUCUAUCUUUCCCAAGCCUCAUACAAUGACUCAGAAUCUUGCUGCAUAGAUGAUGUAAUAUCAUUCCUCAUUUU
rnacentral:snoRNA from 1 species